rnacentral:rRNA from 1 species
UACGUAGGGUGCGAGCGUUAAUCGGAAUUACUGGGCGUAAAGCGUGCGCAGGCGGUGAUGUAAGACCGAUGUGAAAUCCCCGGGCUUAACCUGGGAACUGCAUUGGUGACUGGCAGGCUUUGAGUGUGGCAGAGGGAGGUAGAAUUCCACGUGUAGCAGUGAAAUGCGUAGAGAUGUGGAGGAAUACCGAUGGCGAAGGCAGCCUCCUGGGCCAACACUGACGCUCAUGCACGAAAGCGUGGGGAGCAAACAGG